UACGUAGGGACCGAGCGUUGUCCGGAAUCAUUGGGCGUAAAGAGCGUGUAGGCGGCCACUUAAGUCCUGCGUGAAAUCUUGCGGUUCAACCGCAAGCGGUCGUGGGAAACUGGGUGGCUAGAGUGCGGGAGAGGAGAGUGGAAUUCCUGGUGUAGCGGUGGAAUGCGCAGAUAUCAGGAAGAACACGCGUGGCGAAGGCGGCUCUCUGGAACGCAACUGACGCUGAGACGCGAAAGCGUGGGGAGCAAACAGG
rnacentral:rRNA from 1 species